rnacentral:rRNA from 1 species
UACGUAGGGGGCGAGCGUUGUCCGAAGUUACUGGGCGUAAAGCGCGCGUAGGCGGUUUCUUAAGUCUGGUGUGAAAAGGUUCAGGGCUCAACCCGAACAGUGCACUGGAUACUGGGAGACUUGAGUAUGGGAGAGGAGAGCGGAAUUCCUGGUGUAGCGGUGAAAUGCGUAGAUAUCAGGAGGAACACCGAUGGCGAAGGCAGCUCUCUGGCCUGUAACUGACGCUGAGGUGCGAAAGCGUGGGGAGCAAACAGG